rnacentral:sRNA from 1 species
AGGAAGGUGUGGAUGACGUCAAGUCAUCAUGCCCCUUACACCCUGGGCUACACACGUACUACAAUGCUACGGACAAAGGGCAGCAAACUCGCGAGAGCUAGCAAAUCCCAUAAACCGUGGCUCAGUUCAGAUCGUAGGCUGCAACUCGCCUACGUGAAGCAGGAAUCGCUAGUAAUCGCAGGUCAGCAUACUGCGGUGAAUACGUUCCCGGGCCUUGUACACACCGCCCGUCACACCAUGGAAGUUGGCCAUGCCCGAAGUCGUUACUCCAACCCUUGUGGAGGAGGACGCCGAAGGUGGGGCUAAUGACUGGGGUGAAGUCGUAACAAGGUAGCCGUACCGGAAGGUGCGGCUGGAUCACCUCCUAACAGGGAGACAACAAAAUGUUUAAUAUUAUUAUUUUGUCACCUUAGGUCGAUCGGUAUCUCAUGUUCUUAAUUCGUUAAGAAUUUCAUUUCCUAAGUUUUUCUAGGUCACACCCAUUAUUUUUCCUGGGCCAUUAGCUCAGGUGGUUAGAGCGCACCCCUGAUAAGGGUGAGGUCCCUGGUUCAAGUCCAGGAUGGCCCAUAUCUCUAUGUUGGGGGUAUAGCUCAGUUGGUAGAGCGCCUGCUUUGCAAGCAGGAUGUCAGCGGUUCGAGUCCGCUUACCUCCACUGAUUACCACCUCUUCCAUAACCGGUAGAAAGGAAAUGUUUUGAGUUGUGAUCAUUAUUCUGAACGAAUCUAGCUUCCUAAUGGAAUCAUUAAGAUGCUGGACUCAUUGAAUUAAUUUCAUUGUUUUCAGAGAACCUUGACAACUGCAUAGAUUAUUUUUAAAGACAAUAAGCAUCUUUAAUGAUGCAGAUUUAUUAUUUGUGCGAAUGCAUUAAUAACAAUUCUAUUAAGCUGAUGCUUCAAUUUUUGAAGUUAUUGGUCAAGCUACAAAGGGCUCACGGAGGAUACCUAGGCACACAGAGGCGAUGAAGGACGUGGUUACCUGCGAUAAGUCUCGGGGAGUG